rnacentral:rRNA from 1 species
UACGGGGCGCAGCAGGCGCGAAAACUUUACAAUGCGAGAAAUCGUGAUAAGGGAACCCCGAGUGCCCGUAAAUUCGGGCUGUUAAUCUGUGUAAAAAGCAGGUGGAGAAAGGGCCGGGCAAGACCGGUGCCAGCCGCCGCGGUAAUACCGGCGGCUCGAGUGGUGGCCACUAUUACUGGGCUUAAAGCGUCCGUAGCUGGAUUGUUAAGUCUCUUGGGAAAUCUACCGGCUAACCGAUAGGCGUUCAAGGGAU